rnacentral:lncRNA from 1 species
CUUGUUCCUUGGGGUUAAUUCUAUUGACAGUUGUACCCACAUCAUCGGCUACUUCAGUUUUUUCGAUAUCUUUUGGAGUUCCUGGAGCCGAGCCAUAUGCUUCUUCCCUGUCCUGUGUGCCUCCAUUGAUUUCUCAGACAAAGCCCUACAAUAAUAAUGCAAUAAAAUCCAGAUAACAAAAAAGGUCUUUUAACUUUUCAGUCAUGUUAUAUCACUCACAAUAAUAGACAAAUACAUAUACU